rnacentral:rRNA from 1 species
CCUACGGGAGGCAGCAGUGAGGAAUAUUGGUCAAUGGACGCAAGUCUGAACCAGCCAUGCCGCGUGAAGGAAGACGGCUCUAUGAGUUGUAAACUGCUUUUGUACGAGGGUAAAGUCCAGUACGCAUAUCUUUCUGAAUGUAUCAUACGAAUAAGGAUCGGCUAACUCCGUGCCAGCAGCCGCGGUAAUACGGAGGAUUCGAGCGUUAUCCGGAUUUAUUGGGUUUAAAGGGUGCGUAGGCGGUCGGAUAAGUUAGAGGUGAAAGCCCGAGGCUCAACUUCGGAAUUGCCUCUGAUACUGUUCGGCUAGAGAGUAGUUGCGGUAGGCGGAAUGUAUGGUGUAGCGGUGAAAUGCUUAGAGAUCACACAGAACACCGAUUGCGAAGGCAGCUUACCAAGCUACUUCUGACGUUGAGGCACGAAAGCGUGGGGAGCAAACAGGAUUAGAUACCCUAGUAGUC